rnacentral:rRNA from 1 species
AUUGAACGCUGGCGGCAUGCUUUACACAUGCAAGUCGAACGGUAACAGGCCGCAAGGUGCUGACGAGUGGCGCACGGGUGAGUAAUGCAUCGGAACGUGCCCAGUCGUGGGGGAUAACUACUCGAAAGAGUAGCUAAUACCGCAUACGAUCUAUGGAUGAAAGCGGGGGACCGUAAGGCCUCGCGCGAUUGGAGCGGCCGAUGUCAGAUUAGGUAGUUGGUGGGGUAAAGGCUCACCAAGCCAACGAUCUGUAGCUGGUCUGAGAGGACGACCAGCCACACUGGGACUGAGAUACGGCCCAGACUCCUACGGGAGGCAGCAGUGGGGAAUUUUGGACAAUGGGCGCAAGCCUGAUCCAGCAAUGCCGCGUGCAGGAAGAAGGCCUUCGGGUUGUAAACUGCUUUUGUACGGAACGAAACGGCUCUGGUUAAUACCCGGGGCUAAUGACGGUACCGUAAGAAUAAGCACCGGCUAACUACGUG